GUCAGUAGUCAUAUGCUUGUCUCAAAGAUUAAGCCUUGCAUGUCUAAGUAUAAAUAACUACACAGUGAAACUGCGAAUGGCUCAUUAGAACAGUUAUAGUUUAUUUGAUAUAUUAAAUGGAUAACUGUAGGAAACUAGAGCUAAUACAUGCCUAGGCCGUAAGGCUGCAUUUAUUAGAUAAACCAAGAAGGUGAAUCAUAAUAACUUUGCAAAUCGAAACUACGUUUCGAUACAUCAUUCAAGUUUCUGACCUAUCAUGCUCUCGAUGGUAGUGUAUUGGACUACCAUGGCAGUCACGGGUAACGGAGAAUUAGGGUUCGAUUCCGGAGAAGGAGCCUGAGAAACGGCUACUACAUCUAAGGAAGGCAGCAGGCGCGUAAAUUACCCAAUCCUAAAUCAGGGAGGUAGUGACAAGAUAUAACAACGCGAUUAAAUGUCGCGAUUGUAGUGAGGUAUUCUAAAAAUAAGCUUCGAGUACGAUUGGAGGGCAAGUCUGGUGCCAGCAGCC
rnacentral:rRNA from 1 species